rnacentral:tRNA from 1 species
GAGGGCUUAGCUUAAUUAAAGUGUUUGGUUUGCGUCCAUAUGAUGUAAGGUGUAGUCUUGCAGCCCUUA